rnacentral:tRNA from 1 species
UCCCUGGUGGCUCAGAUGGUAAAGAAUCUGCCUGCAAUGCAGGAGACCCAGGCUCAAUUCCUGGGUUGGGAA